rnacentral:misc_RNA from 1 species
AAGAAAAGGCGUGAAGAAGAGUCAAAGAAGUUAGAAGAAGAUGCAGCUAGGAGGUUGGAAGAAUUAAUUCAGAAGAAUGUUCAAGAAAUACUAAACUCUGAAGAGACUAGAUUAGAAAUACAAAGGCGAAUAGAGGAAGGUCGCAAGAAAUUGUUUGAUGAUGUUGAUCUGCAACUUGUGAAAGAGAAAGAAGCCGCUCUUACUGCUGCAAGACAGAAAGAAGAACAAGCCCGAAGAGAGAGAGAAGAGCUAGAUAGAAUGCUAGAAGAGAAUAGGAGAAGGGUAGAAGAAGCUCAACGAAGAGAAGCUCUGGAGCUGCAGCGGAAGGAAGAAGAACGAUAUCGUGAGCUGGAGCUGAUUCAGAGACAAAAAGAGGAGGCCGCACGGAGGAAAAAGCUGGAACAGGGAGAAGAGAGAACGUAGAUCAUAGAUAGUAUGGCGUCCGAGAAUGUAUGGUUUAUUGUAGAUGAAAUAUGUUACAUCUACAUCCAUAGUUUCCUGACCCAUGGAAUGGUGAACCUCAAGCCGAUGAUUUUUGGUCAAUGUUUCGAAUGUCGUUUGGGGCAUUUACAUACUGUGCAUUUUGUGGGUCAAUGAUAUUGGUUACUUUGGCGCCCUUUGAGUUUGUAUGUUGCGCGGUUGUUCUAUGACAUGGA